CAGAUGGGUCAUGUUAUUUUAUUUUCUAAAGGUUAAAUCAUGUAAGUGUUUAGGAAGCUUUUUUCCCAUUGCUAUUACAACAAGUUGGAGGUUGGACCCAUAUUUGUAGUUUUGAUAUAUUAAAAUAAAUUAAAUGAUAGAAUUUUCUAUCACCUCUUAGUAAAUAUAUCCAACAGACAUGAUUGUAUAUACAUGCAGAUUGCACACGAGCCUACGGAGGUGAAUGU